UACGUAUGGUGCAAGCGUUGUUCGGAUUCACUGGGCGUAAAGGGCGCGCAGGUGGGUAGUUAAGUCGGGUGUGAAAUCCAUGGGCUCAACCCGUGGACUGCAUCCGAAACUGGUUACCUGGAGUCUCGGAGAGGCAGGCGGAAUUCCCGGUGUAGCGGUGAAAUGCGUAGAUAUCGGGAGGAAUACCAAGGGCGAAGGCAGCCUGCUGGACGGUGACUGACACUGAGGCGCGAAAGCGUGGGGAGCAAACAGG
rnacentral:misc_RNA from 1 species